rnacentral:rRNA from 1 species
CCUACGGGAGGCAGCAGUGAGGAAUCUUGGUCAAUGGCCGGAAGGCUGAACCAGCCAAGCCGCGUGAAGGACGAAGGUGCCAAGCAUUGUAAACUUCUUUUGUCAAGGGACAAAAUCAGGCUCGAGAGCCUGACCGAGGAGACUUGAAGAAAAAGCAUCGGCUAACACCGUGCCAGCAGCCGCGGUAAUACGGGGGAUGCGCGCGUUAUCCGGAUCUUUUGGGUUUAAGGGGUGCGUAGGCGGACUGUUAAGAUAGCGGUAAAAGCCCGGGGCUCAACCCCGGCGGGCCGUGGAAACUGGCUGUCUUGAGAUGUCGAGAGGUAUGCGGAAUGCGCAGUGUAGCGGUGAAAUGCUUAGAUAUUGCGCAGAACUCCGAUUGCGAAGGCAGCAUACCGGCGGCGAUCUGACGCUGAGGCACGAAAGCGUGGGUAUCGAACAGGAUUAGAUACCCCUGUAGUC